CCUACGGGAGGCAGCAGUGGGGAAUAUUGCGCAAUGGGCGAAAGCCUGACGCAGCGACGCCGCGUGCGGGCUGAAGGUCUUCGGAUUGUAAACCUCUGUCUGCAGGGAAGAACGGUCACUGUGCUAAUCAGCAGUGAAUUGACGGUACCUGCAAAGGAAGCACCGGCUAACUCCGUGCCAGCAGCCGCGGUAAUCCGGCGGGUGCGAGCGUUAAUCGGAAUUACUGGGCGGAAAGCGCCCGUAGGCGGUAUGUUAAGUCAAGGGUGAAAUCCCCCCGCUCAACGUGGGAACUGCCUUUGAAACUGGCAAACUGGAGUGUAGGAGAGGAUAGUGGAAUUCCAGGUGUAGGAGUGAAAUCCGUAGAGAUCUGGAGGAACAUCAGUGGCGAAGGCGACUAACUGGCACAUAACUGACGCUGAUGAGCGAAAGCGUGGGUAGCAAACAGGAUUAGAUACCCCAGUAGUC
rnacentral:rRNA from 1 species